AGCGCGGCUCGUCUCGCUGGAAGUUUGGGCUGAAAUCCGGAGACGCGUCGCCUCGCCGCGGUUCACGACUCCCGAGCAGGACGAGUCGCUAUCGAGGAGCUGACAAUCAUGAGAGUGUCCACACGGGCAUCCCCUCCUCCUUCCUCCAUCCUACGCGUCCCACAGUGUGCUGCCGAAAGGCUGGCGUGCAGAUGUUGCCGCAAGAACUCUUGUAAAAAUGUGGAAAUUAGACUUCAAAUCGAAUCACCAAGACAAGACUUCUACUGGUUCCAGAUGCCGGCACCACUCAUGAGAAUUUAUGAGUUCAAGUUAGAUUUCUGGCAGACAAAAAAAAAAAAAAAAAAAGAAAAUGUUUAAUGUCUUGAAUGUCUAAAAGAAGCUGGAAGCGAGACAAGAAGAAGCUGACACAAGCAGAGGUAGACUACAUACCUAGAAACUUUACUGUCUGAACUGUUUGUAUUAUUCCAAAAGCAGCAAACAACAAAAAAUGUUUGUCGUUUAUCAUAAAACUUCACAACUGAAAUAAAAUAUUAUGUCUUCAGCAGAUGUCGCAACAUAAAUCAAAAUAAUUCACAUGAUUUCUUCGCGUCGCACGCUCGCUUGUUGCUAGGCAGAAAUUGUAGGGCUUUCAGCUUCACUGCUCAAGUUUGGCUGCUUCAAUGACAAACUGGUGCAAAGACAAAGUCGGAUACAUUAUUUGGCCAACUACAUCGCUGUUCCUUAUUAAAUAUUGAAUCCAAAAACUGUAUGUGGUGAAGGCAUUUUCCCAAAUAGUCGCUAACUAACUUACUCGGUGUCAUAUCAUUUAAAGAAGUGCAUAUCUACGUAUGGGGACCAACGCACACGGCGUGUAUGUUGAAUUGGUGUUAGGAUUACGAGGGCACUCUUGGGAAAUAUUUCUCCACUGUAAAGUUUGUGAAACCCUGAUUUACAUCACUGCCGGCGCCAAAACGGGCACACUUGACCUUGCCCCGUGCCUUUUACCAUACAGGUGGUUGCCUGCCUGGUGCAGUAAUGUGUUGCGCAGAUACAGUCAGAUUCAGCUAUGAGUGUCUUCUCUUUCAUCUGCUGCCAAAAACAAAAGCGUCCGCUUUGAGCCAGACGGAUGCACUCGGUGGGGAGCGCCUGAAAGCUUUUACGGGGGCCCCGGCAAGCUUGUUGCUACCCCAUCCCCUGCCGAGACCCCCCGAGUGAGUCACUGAGUCGGUCAACGAAGAGUUAGCGUGUUAUUCAGGAUUUGGGACUUUGUGAGUGAGCUAGUGUGUUGGAGAGUGCGCAUGUGUGCGAGCCAAUUCGAGAUUUGUCAUUAGAGAAUUAGAGAGGUAUUUAGUUAGCGAGUGAGUGAGAGAGGAGUAAGUUGGCGAGUAACUUCAUGUUAGAAGUUAGAGAGUGUACGUGCAGGCAAAAUAGUUUUGGAAUUAGUAAGUUAGUGAGUGAAUCAGUAUUAGUUAGUUCGAAUGAGUGACUUGAGUGAACACUCUUGUUAGCACGUUAGGGUGUAAGUUGAAAUGUGUGACUUGAGGGAGUUAGUUGGUUAGUGAGUGAGAAAGUACCUUAGCGCGUUUGUUAGGAUUUGUAGCAUGGCGAGUGAGUGAGUUGAUGAGUGAGUUAGUUAGUUAGUGAUAGGGUUAGAUUUUGUGAGUGAGUUAAUUGGUACGUCAAAAGUGCGUUGAUUUCUGAGUUAGUGUAUCAGAGAGUUAGUUGGUCAUAUAGUUAUGGAGUGAGUUAGUCUGUUGAGCUAGUGAGUUACUCAUUGAUUUGUUUGUGUGCUAUAGUCCGUUAGUCAAGGCAAAAAAUGCUCAAUUGAAUCAGCAGAAAUAAAUCCUUUUGUCUGAAAAACAAAUAUGGGAAUAUUUUAUGAAGAUAAAUGGUGACAUUUCAUCAGCGAGUAGCGAAGCCCAUUAAAUAACAGAUAAAUAAGCCUUCAUUCCAAACUCUUAUUGGCUAUAAAUAAGAGAUACGACUAUUGAUUGAAUGAAUUGCAAACGAUCUCGAGACGUGUGUAACUGUUCCUGCGUCAGAAGCGUCAAAGCCAAAACUGCUCGAAUGCCAAAGAAAAACGUUUGCAAAUGCCUGCUGUUGGUUUGUGUUGACUUUAUGCAAACGAGCCCGAAAUUAGUUCACAUCUGGACCUCAUUUCAACGAGUGACAUAGAAUAACGAUCAAUGAGCCGGUGUUAACUGAUGAUGAAUUUGCAAAACAACACAUUUGUUGUUUGUUCUCUACGGCUGAUGUCUUCAUUAGGCAAAUUCGACGCAGCAGUCCUGAUGCGUACCAAUAAAACAACAUUUUUCCUUCCUUUUUGGGCAACAUCGUACAGAACAGAUGAAACUGAUUUAACAAGCGAAUGUGGCCUGAAACUUAAGACUCAAUCACAUCGCGUAUUGUCUUGAAUCUUGGGUUCAACCAGUGCAAUUCAUGGAAUAUCAAUGCCAGUUUUGGAUCCAUUGUUGACAUCCUACUACCUGUCGUUUCCUGCUUCCCCACCAACCUGCUGUUUGCAGCUGGGAAGCUUCUGCGCCACUUCAGGGACCACACAUCAUGAUUAGUACUUUUAUUAGUCAUUGUGCCUUUCGGGGUACAAAGCUUUUCAUAGGGGUGGUAUCCUUCAUUGUUUCUGCUUUCCCACCUUUGGCACUCAACGUGAGCGUCUCUGGGACGCUGGUUCACUGAUUUGGAAAGAUUUUUGUUCUUUCCCACAGGAAGUAAUGGAAAUCGAAAUCAUCUGUUACGGGCCAUCUUAAAAGUUUGAUUAACUGUUCAGGUAGGAGUUUAAGUCACACUUUAACGUUCUUAAUUUUCACACAAGUGUCGAUGAGACUCAGGGUUCUAUUUCCGUAGCCCGCGCACUCGCGACGGAACGCAAAUUCCGGCGUAUGCUGAUUUUCGUGCAAGGGCAAGGCUCGCUGUCUGCACCAAGAGGCAAUGCAUUAUGGGAAAAUAGUCUUUCCCACUCUGACGAUAAUAAAACAUGCAAGAGUUGAUUUGAAUAAAACAUGAGCCAUCCUGACAUUUGACACCCUCGUGACCGACCUGCAAGCACUGCUAAAUAUUUGAUCGCGGAGCUCAACAAAAUCAGCAGCAAAGAGAAAUUGUGACCACGCCGUGACAGCAUGUUCCGGAUGUUUCCUCUCGUCUUCCUGCCGACCUCCUGGAUUCUGCUUCUUCCUCUCCGAGGUGAGCACUCGACUGACUUCACAAAGGUCUGGCAUACCUUUUGGUCUAAAUGAGAAACCUCCUCCAAAGUGAUCAAAUUUGCAUGCAUCCAACGGGCCCGAGGCAGACGAACUGUCACAUUCCGGGCAAACUGUGAGGUCUCUUCGCCAAGAUACUUAUUAACAUCUGACUCAACUCAUUUUCUCUGAAAUUGCAUGUGAACGAGAGUGAGAAAAUAUAUCCCAGCGUGUCAGCAAUACCCAGAAACAACAAGAGAGCCCUGCCACCAAGAGCAAAAUAAUCUUUGGAUCUGUUCGACGCAGAGGAAGUGGAGUACCUGAGCUUCAACGUGAGCGCGACCACGGGGGGCUCGGUCCGCUUGGACUGCGGCGCCGACCCGCCGUCCGUCUUCAUCUGGGGCUUCACCAGAGCCGGUUCGGACAGCAGCGUGGCUCUGGCCUACGACUACGGCCGCGGUCCCAAGCUGCAGGCUCUACCGGGUGGCGCGGGCCGCAUACGCGUGCCCGCCAACACCUCCGCCCUGGUGGUCGAUGAAGUGCGGCGGGAGGUGGAGGGCACGUACACCUGCCAGGCCUUGUACCACGCGGGCCGCGCAGACAGGGUGACCUUCUACUACACCCGGCUAGACGUGGAGGACGACUGAUAGCGACAUCACGCUGAUGCAAUAAACUCAUUAAAGUGUC